rnacentral:rRNA from 1 species
GAUGAACGCUAGCGACAGGCUUAACACAUGCAAGUCGAGGGGCAGCAUAGAAGUAGCAAUACUUUGGUGGCGACCGGCGCACGGGUGAGUUACGCGUAUGCAACCUACCUAUCAGAGGGGAAUAACCCGGCGAAAGUCGGACUAAUACCGCAUAAAACAGGGGCACCGCAUGGUGAUAUUUGUUAAAGAAAUUCGCUGAUAGAUGGGCAUGCGUUCCAUUAGGUAGUUGGUGAGGUAACGGCUCACCAAGCCGACGAUGGAUAGGGGAACUGAGAGGUUGGUCCCCCACACUGGUACUGGGACACGGACCAGACUCCUACGGGAGGCAGCAGUGAGGAAGAUUGGUCAAUGGGCGGGAGCCUGAACCAGCCAAGUCGCGUGAAGGAAGAAGGAUCUAUGGUUCGUAAACUUCUUUUGCAGGGGAAUAAAGUGCAGGACGUGUCCUGUUUUGUAUGUACCCUGAGAAUAAGGAUCGGCUAACUCCGUGCCAGCCGCCGCAGUAAGAC